rnacentral:rRNA from 1 species
UAUGUGAUCGUCUCUCGCAUAUCAAUAAGCGGAGGAAAAGAAACUAACAAGGAUUCCCCUAGUAACGGCGAGUGAAGCGGGAAGAGCUCAAAUUUGAAAUCUUAAAGGGUUUCCCUUUACGAAUUGUAGUUUAAAGAAGUGUUUUCUGUUGAGGUUUUGGUAAAAGUUCUUUGGAAUAGGACAUCAUAGAGGGUGAGAAUCCCGUAUUUGACCUUUACUUUCAACUUUGUGAUACACUUUCAAAGAGUCGGAUUGUUUGGGAAUGCAGUCCAAAAUGGGUGGUAAAUUUCAUCUAAAGCUAAAUAUUGGCGAGAGACCGAUAGCGAACAAGUACCGUGAGGGAAAGAUGAAAAGAACUUUGAAAAGAGAGUUAAACAGUACGUGAAAUUGUCAAAAGGGUAGCGUUUGACACCAGUGUUGUUUUUCUGAAAAUCAAUUAAAGAACUGUUUAUGCUAAGCUGUUUAGACUUUAUCAGCUAUCUGUUUAGUUUUGAGCUUUUCUUUAAUGCACUUUUCAGUUAACAAGUCAACAUCAAUUUCUUUUGCUGUAAAAAAGCUUGAGGAAGGUGGCUUGAGAUUCGUCUUAAGUGUUUAUAGCCUCUUGCCUAUGCAGUCGGAGAGAUUGAGGUCUGCAGCGUAGAUCCUUCGGGGCUAAAUGCAUUUGUGCUAAGUUAUAGCAUUUUAUAGACAACUUGUUGACUAUGAUUUGUCUUGUAGCUUACUCGCUUAUGUUAUUUUACCUACGCUUAGGAUGUUGAUCUGUAGUGCGUGCGC